rnacentral:rRNA from 1 species
AGUGAACGCUGGCGGUAGGCCUAACACAUGCAAGUCGAACGGCAGCACAGUAAGAGCUUGCUCUUACGGGUGGCGAGUGGCGGACGGGUGAGGAAUACAUCGGAAUCUACUUUUUCGUGGGGGAUAACGUAGGGAAACUUACGCUAAUACCGCAUACGACCUACGGGUGAAAGCAGGGGAUCUUCGGACCUUGCGCGAUUGAAUGAGCCGAUGUCGGAUUAGCUAGUUGGCGGGGUAAAGGCCCACCAAGGCGACGAUCCGUAGCUGGUCUGAGAGAAUGAUCAGCCACACUGGAACUGAGACACGGUCCAGACUCCUACGGGAGGCAGCAGUGGGGAAUAUUGGACAAUGGGCGCAAACCUGAUCCAGCCAUACCGCGUGGGUGAAGAAGGCCUUCGGGUUGUAAAGCCCUUUUGUUGGGAAAGAAAAGCAGCAGGUUAAUACCCCGCUGUUCUGACGGUACCCAAAGAAUAAGCACCGGCUAACUUCGUG